CAAUAGCGUAUAUUAAAGUUGUUGCAGUUAAAAAGCUCGUAGUUGGACCUUGGACCUGGACAGGCGGUCCGCCUCACGGCGAGUACUGUCUUGCUGGGUCUUUCCUCUUGGUGAUCUGUUGUUUCGGCAGCAGGGAACCAGGACCUUUACUUUGAAAAAAUUAGAGUGUUCAAAGCAGGCUCGACGCCGGAAUAUAUUAGCAUGGAAUAAUAAAAUAGGACGUGCGGUUCUAUUUUGUUGGUUUUUGGGAUCGCCGUAAUGAUUAAUAGGGACAGUCGGGGGCAUUAGUACUCACAUGCUAGAGGUGAAAUUCUUGGAUUUUGUGAAGACUAACUUCUGCGAAAGCAUUUGCCAAGGAUGUUUUCAUUAA
rnacentral:rRNA from 1 species